UUACGGUCACAUCACGUUGAAAGACCGGUUCCCAUACGAUCAGUGAAGCAAUGUCGUGAGUGGUCAGUACCUAGAUGGGUGACCGCUUGGAAAUGCCAGGUGCUGUA